rnacentral:rRNA from 1 species
AUUGAACGCUGGCGGCAGGCCUAACACAUGCAAGUCGAACGGUAACAGAAAGUAGCUUGCUACUUUGCUGACGAGUGGCGGACGGGUGAGUAAUGUCUGGGGAUCUGCCUGAUGGAGGGGGAUAACUACUGGAAACGGUAGCUAAUACCGCAUAAUGUCGCAAGACCAAAGCGGGGGACUUUCGGGCCUCACACCAUCAGAUGAACCCAGAUGGGAUUAGCUAGUAGGUAAGGUAAUGGCUUACCUAGGCGACGAUCCCUAGCUGGUCUGAGAGGAUGACCAGCCACACUGGAACUGAGACACGGUCCAGACUCCUACGGGAGGCAGCAGUGGGGAAUAUUGCACAAUGGGCGCAAGCCUGAUGCAGCCAUGCCGCGUGUAUGAAGAAGGCCUUAUGGUUGUAAAGCACUUUAAGCGAGGAGGAGGCUCUUUUGGUUAAUACCCAAGAUGAGUGGACGUUACUCGCAGAAUAAGCACCGGCUAACUCUGUGCCAGCAGCCGCCGUAA